CCUACGGGUGGCAGCAGUGAGGAAUAUUGGUCAAUGGCCGAGAGGCUGAACCAGCCAAGUCGCGUGAGGGAAGAAUGUCCUAUGGAUUGUAAACCUCUUUUGUCAGGGAGCAAAGUCACCCACGUGUGGGUGUUGGAGAGUACCUGAAGAAAAAGCAUCGGCUAACUCCGUGCCAGCAGCCGCGGUAAUACGGAGGAUGCGAGCGUUAUCCGGAUUUAUUGGGUUUAAAGGGUGCGUAGGCGGGUUAUCAAGUCAGCGGUAAAAUCGUGGAGCUCAACUCCAUCCAGCCGUUGAAACUGAUGAUCUUGAGUGGGCGAGAAGUAUGCGGAAUGCGUGGUGUAGCGGUGAAAUGCAUAGAUAUUAGGAGGAACACCAGUGGCGAAGGCGGCCUGCUGGGCUUUAACUGACGCUGAGGCUCGAAAGCGUGGGGAGCAAACAGGAUUAGAUACCCCAGUAGUC
rnacentral:rRNA from 1 species